rnacentral:rRNA from 1 species
CGGUAAUACGUAGGUGACAAGCGUUAUCCGGAUUUACUGGGCGUAAAGCGUGUGCAGGCGGGGGGAUAAGUGGUGUAUGAAAGGGCCCGGCUUAACCGGGUUAGGCUAUGCCAGACUGUCCUUCUGGAGCGCGAGAGAGGAGCGUGGAAUUCCGGGUGUAGUGGUGAAAUGCGUAGAGAUCCGGAGGAACCCCAGAGGCGAAGGCGGCGCUCUGGCUCGCGACUGACGCUCAGACACGACAGCAUGGGGAGCGAACGGGAUUAGAAACCCCGGUAGUCCAUGCCGUAAACGAUGCCGACUAGGCGCUGGUGGUUUGAACGCUGCCAGUGCCGCAGCUAACGCGCUAAGUCGGCCGCCUGGGGAGUACGACCGCAAGGUUAAA